CAGGGGGUGCAACGAAAUGGGGAAGCAAUUGCUGUCAAGAAGAUCGUGUCUUUCUUAAUGUCAAGCCAGAAACAAUUUGAAAAUGAGGUCUAUCAUCUUAUGAUGCUUAAGCACCGCAAUAUAGUGCGAUUUGUAGGCUACUGCUACGAAACAAAAAAUGAGUGUUUAGAGUACAAGGGGAAAUAUGUUUUUGCUGAGAUGGUGGAAAAGUUAAUUUGCUUGGAGUAUAUGCCCAACGGAAGCCUUGAUAAGUAUAUAUCGGAUGAAACUUCUGGACUUAAUUGGAGCACACGCUAUAAAAUAAUCGAGGGGAUCUGCUAUGGUUUACACCAUCUUCAUACAGAAAUUGAUAAGCCUAUUAUUCACCUGGACCUAAAACCUUCAAACAUAUUGCUCGAUGAUGGUAUGGUGCCGAAAAUCACAGACUUUGGUCUGUCAAGACUGUUUGGUCAACAAACUAUUUGCACCUCAUCUCGUGAUGGGACAUUUGGUUACAUGGCACCGGAAUUUUUGCACGGAGGUACAAUGACACCAAAAUCAGAUAUAUUCAGUUUGGGUGUACUGAUCUUGGAGGUCAUAACAGGACAUAGGGACUACCCCGACGUUACUAGAACACCUUCAGAUGACUUUAUCGAGCUUACGGUUGAGAAAUGGAGAAAUGUGUUGCAGAGAUCACGGGGGUAUGGAUCCCUAGAAACAUGUUGCAAGCAAAUAAAGAAAUGCCUCCAGGUAGGUUUAUUAUGCGUGAAUCCUGACCGCGCCAAGAGGCCGCCAAUAACGAACAUUAUCAGUGUGCUCCAAGAAUCUGAAAGAGUAUCGGCUGUGACAUUAGCAACAAGGCUGCGUUAUUGGUGGACCAGGUAUAUAUAUGAUCACUCAACGGUCAUGGAUGUUAUUUGCUACCCCUUUUCAUUGUCUUUCAGCAAUAUGGGUAAGCCAUCGCACCUCAAGGAUACACGCUAG
rnacentral:rRNA from 1 species